rnacentral:rRNA from 1 species
CCUACCACGCCGAAGACACCCAACCUCGUCUGAUUUUGGAAGUUGAGUAGAAUCAGGACUGGUUACUACUUGGAAGGGAGAUCAUCUUCUACCAUCAAGGAUUGCUAGAUGGGGCUAGGA